UACGUAGGGUCCAAGCGUUGUCCGGAUUUAUUGGGCGUAAAGAGCUCGUAGGCGGCUUGUCGCGUCGACUGUGAAAACCCGCGGCUCAACUGCGGGCCUGCAGUCGAUACGGGCAGGCUAGAGUUCGGUAGGGGAGACUGGAAUUCCAGGUGUAGCGGUGAAAUGCGUAGAUAUCUGGAGGAACACCGGUGGCGAAGGCGGCAUCCUGGACCGAGAUUGACGCUGAGGCGCGAAAGCCAGGGGAGCAAACGGG
rnacentral:rRNA from 1 species